GCAGUCAGGGGCAGCGGGAGUAGCAAUACUUGCCGGCGACCGGCGCANNNNNUGCGUAACGCGUGAGCAACAUGCCCGUAUCAGGGGGAUAAUCCAUGGAAACGUGGUCUAAUACCCCAUAGUAAGUUUUUGAGGCAUCUCAAAGAUUUUAAAGCUUUGGUGGAUACGGAUUGGCUCGCGUGACAUUAGCUAGAUGGUAGGGUAACGGCUUACCAUGGCUACGAUGUCUAGGGGUUCUGAGAGGAAGGUCCCCCACACUGGAACUGAGACACGGUCCAGACUCCUACGGGAGGCAGCAGUGAGGAAUAUUGGACAAUGGAUGGAAAUCUGAUCCAGCCAUGCCGCGUGCAGGAAGACGGCCCUAUGGGUUGUAAACUGCUUUUGUAUGGGAGCAAUAAGAUCUACGUGUAGAUUGAUGAGAGUACCAUACGAAUAAGCACCGGCUAACUCCGUGCCAGCAGCCGCGGUAAUACGGAGGGUGCAAGCGUUAUCCGGAUUUAUUGGGUUUAAAGGGUGCGUAGGCGGUUUGAUAAGUCAGCGGUGAAAUAUUUCAGCUUAACUGGAAGGGUGCCGUUGAUACUGUCAGGCUUGAAUUUAGUUGCUGUGGGUGGAAUGUGUGGUGUAGCGGUGAAAUGCAUAGAUAUCACACAGAAUAUCGAUUGCGAAGGCAGCUCACAAAGCUAAUAUUGACGCUGAUGCACGAAAGUGUGGGGAUCAAACAGGAUUAGAUACCCUGGUAGUC
rnacentral:rRNA from 1 species